GACGAACGCUGGCGGCGUGCUUAACACAUGCAAGUCGAACGGAAAGGCCCUGCUUUUGUGGGGUGCUCGAGUGGCGAACGGGUGAGUAACACGUGAGUAACCUGCCCUUGACUUUGGGAUAACUUCAGGAAACUGGGGCUAAUACCGGAUAGGAGCUCCUGCUGCAUGGUGGGGGUUGGAAAGUUUCGGCGGUUGGGGAUGGACUCGCGGCUUAUCAGCUUGUUGGUGGGGUAGUGGCUUACCAAGGCGUUGACGGGUAGCCGGCCUGAGAGGGUGACCGGCCACAUUGGGACUGAGAUACGGCCCAGACUCCUACGGGAGGCAGCAGUGGGGAAUAUUGCACAAUGGGCGGAAGCCUGAUGCAGCAACGCCGCGUGCGGGAUGACGGCCUUCGGGUUGUAAACCGCUUUCGCCUGUGGCGAAGCGUGAGUGACGGUAAUGGGUAAAGAAGCACCGGCUAACUACGUG
rnacentral:rRNA from 1 species